UGCUGCAGGCAUUCUCUAAGCAGGCGAUUGUUAAUAACAUCAUAACCUCAAACAUAUGCUGGAGGAUGGAUACGAGAGAUAUAUUUGUUUAAAGGUUAUGGAGUAAAGUUACAACCAGACACAUUUAUUUUUUGCCAUGCUGCAGUCAAAUAUCAGGAUAUGACAAUAUGUAUUUUUUCAUUUUCAAUAAAGACUAUUGCAAUUUUAUAAAAAAUCCUGCAUUAAAAUUGCUUUCUGGCUAAAAGGAAAAUCCACCAUGAAAAAUAAAUUAAAAAGAGACAAUACAGGACCUACCAGGUUGGCGAACCGUGAGAAUAUGCUGAAGGUGAAAUGCCACUGGAGGGGUAACAACCCAUUAUAAUUCGUUUGGAGGUUUACGUUGUAAAAGUGUGUGGAUUUCAGACUUCUGAGUAUGUCAUUUUUAAUAUGGAAUAAACUGUGGUACAUGUAUCUCAGUAUGUGUACCACACAGUAUGCCA